UCCCUGGUGGUCCAGUGGUUAAGACUCUGCAUUCCCAGUGCAGGGGGCCUGGGUUAGAUGCUUGGUCAGGGAA
rnacentral:tRNA from 1 species